UACGUAGGGUGCAAGCGUUGUCCGGAAUUAUUGGGCGUAAAGAGCUCGUAGGCGGUCUGUCGCGUCGGCUGUGAAAACUCGGGGCUCAACCCCGAGCCUGCAGUCGAUACGGGCAGACUAGAGUGCUGUAGGGGAGACUGGAAUUCCUGGUGUAGCGGUGAAAUGCGCAGAUAUCAGGAGGAACACCGGUGGCGGAAGGCGGGUCUCUGGGCAGUAACUGACGCUGGAGGAGCGAAAGCGUGGGGAGCAAACAGG
rnacentral:rRNA from 1 species